AAGAGUUUGAUCCUGGCUCAGAUUGAACGCUGGCGGCAUGCCUUACACAUGCAAGUCGAACGGCAGCACGGGGGCAACCCUGGUGGCGAGUGGCGAACGGGUGAGUAAUGCAUCGGAACGUGCCCUAUCGUGGGGGAUAACCAGUCGAAAGACUGGCUAAUACCGCAUACGACCUACGGGUGAAAGCGGGGGACCGUAAGGCCUCGCGCGAUUGGAGCGGCCGAUGUC
rnacentral:rRNA from 1 species